UUGCUUGGAGACUCAAGACUGUCCAACGCAAUACCUAUGAUGGUGCUAGUGGGUGUCCCAGGCCAAACUUCCAGAACAGUCCAACAACCCGAAGAGAAUCUUUGUUUGUUAGUGGACAGCUUUUUGGUGAUGAGUGCAGAGAGGCUCUGUCUGUUAUUAGACACUCAACAGAUAGGUCUGUGGUUAAAGAGAAGAUGAAAGCUACUUUUGAAUAUAGACAGAAGCUGGUACAUGACCCAGAUGCAACAUCAUCAAUCUUGGAUGUCUUCCCUCGUUUCCUUGAUACACCGGGGUUGAUUGAUCAGGAUUUUGCAAUGAUGCUUGGAGAUGAGGCCUCUGGAAGAUUUCUUACAAAGUGGUCUUCGUAUUUCAAGCAAAAAAUCAUCGCAGAAAGCCAAAGUCUUCCAUCAAGUCCUUGUGUUGAGGAGUUACGAGCAUCUUUUGAAACGGAGGCUUCAAAUGACUGGGGCUGGGAUAGUGACAUGGCAGCUCUUCUGUUGUUGCUGCAUCUCCUGCCUCCAACAUCAAAAGGCCACAAAAAAACAGCAAAAAUUAGCUCUGCACAGGCAGCCAAUCAUCUUGUGAGAUUUGUCAAGGUAUG